UACGUAGGGGGCAAGCGUUGUCCGGAUUUACUGGGCGUAAAGAGCGUGUAGGCGGCCAUACAGGUCCGUUGUGAAAACUGGAGGCUCAACUUCCAGACGUCGACGGAAACCGUGUGGCUAGAGUCCGGAAGAGGAGAGUGGAAUUCCUGGUGUAGCGGUGAAAUGCGCAGAUAUCAGGAAGAACACCAAUGGCGAAGGCAGCACUCUGGGACGUGACUGACGCUGAGGAGCGAAAGCGUGGGGAGCGAACAGG
rnacentral:rRNA from 1 species